rnacentral:rRNA from 1 species
UACAGAGGUGCCAAGCGUUGUUCGGAUUUAUUGGGCGUAAAGGGUGCGUAGGCGGUUAUGUAAGUCGGGUGUGAAAUUUCGGAGCCUAACUCCGAAACUGCAUUCGAAACUGCAUAGCUCGAGGUCUGGAGAGGUAAUUGGAAUUCUAGGUGUAGCAGUGAAAUGCGUAGAUAUCUAGAGGAACACCAGAGGCGAAAGCGAAUUACUGGACAGAACCUGACGCUGAGGCACGAAAGCUAGGGGAGCAAACGGG